UGGCAAAUGGAAUAAUACGGAGAAUGAGGAACAAGCUGUGGAACGUUUGGAGGAAGUGUUAAGGGUGGCUUCAGAGUAUGGACUCGAGAUCAAUUGGAAGAAAAGUCAGUUGAUAUAUUGCAAAGCCUUUGAGAUGACGUUGCGAAAGAAAGAUCUCACAACGAGAGUGGCAAGAUGGGUGUUGC